CAGUGUUAGUUAUUCAUUAUUAACUUGACAUUUAAUAUCAAUAUCAACAUAUGAACACAUUAUAGAGAUGUGUGUGUGUGGCAGUCCAAUGAGGGCCAGCAGUGUGAAGAGAAACUUCCUUUAAAAUUGUUGUAGCGCAAAGAGGAACGAAGUACAAAAGGAAGAUGGAGAGAGGAAGAGUCUGCUCAGAGACCCACAGCAGAGAUCACUGAGGUGAGAAGAGAGCAGGAGAACGACACCCAAAGAGGAAAAGACAGCGACCGUCUCAAUCAUCAAACCAGGAUGUUUGUUCUCAUCUUGACGGCUCUGCUCUUCUCUGUGAGAGGCGUCACUGCUGACACAGGGUCGCGGGGGCGCUGGAGCCUAUCCCAGCUGACAUAGGGCGAAGGCAGGG